UCUUGGGUUGUAAACCUCUUUUCUCAGGGAAGAAACCUGACGGUACCUGAGGAAUAAGCAUCGGCUAACUCCGUGCCAGCAGCCGCGGUAAUACGGAGGAUGCAAGCGUUAUCCGGAAUGAUUGGGCGUAAAGCGUCCGCAGGUGGCAGUGUAAGUCUGCUGUCAAAGAGUCUGGCUCAACCAGAUAAAGGCAGUGGAAACUACACAGCUAGAGUACGUUCGGGGCAGAGGGAAUUCCUGGUGUAGCGGUGAAAUGCGUAGAGAUCAGGAAGAACACCGGUGGCGAAAGCGCUCUGCUAGGCCGUAACUGACACUGAGGGACGAAAGCUAGGGGAGCGAAUGGGAUUAGAUACCCCAGUAGUCCUAGCCGUAAACGAUGGAUACUAGGUGUUGCUUGUAUCGACCCGAGCAGUACCGUAGCUAACGCGUUAAGUAUCCCGCCUGGGGAGUACGCAGGCAACUGUGAAACUCAAAGGAAUUGACGGGGGCCCGCACAAGCGGUGGAGUAUGUGGUUUAAUUCGAUGCAACGCGAAGAACCUUACCAGGGCUUGACAUGUCGCGAAUUCCGGGGAAACUCGGGAGUGCCUUCGGGAGCGCGAACACAGGUGGUGCAUGGCUGUCGUCAGCUCGUGUCGUGAGAUGUUGGGUUAAGUCCCGCAACGAGCGCAACCCUCGUUUUUAGUUGCCAUCAUUAAGUUGGGCACUCUAGAGAGACUGCCGGUGACAAACCGGAGGAAGGUGGGGAUGACGUCAAGUCAGCAUGCCCCUUACGUCCUGGGCUACACACGUACUACAAUGCUCCGGACAGAGGGCAGCGAGCAUGCGAAUGCAAGCUAAUCCCGUAAACCGGAGCUCAGUUCAGAUCGCAGGCUGCAACUCGCCUGCGUGAAGUUGGAAUCGCUAGUAAUUGCAGGUCAGCAUACUGCGGUGAAUUCGUUCCCGGGCCUUGUACACACCGCCCGUCACACCAUGGAAGCUGGUAGUGCCCGAAGUCAUUACCCCAACCUUCGGGAGGGGGAUGCCUAAG
rnacentral:rRNA from 1 species